rnacentral:lncRNA from 1 species
AAAUGGUGACAUACAAUCUCAGCAACCAGCUACAAAUCUCAGCAUACAUGCAUCCAACACAUUAUAUAUAUAGUAUUGGAGAGAGAAAAUCUCAUUUGCCCACUUAUUUUUGCAAUAACACUCCACUUAUCUCUCUCAACUUAAAACCUACGAAAUUCUCUCCUAAAAUCAGUCAAGAAACAAGCCCCACGAUCAGCCAUACCAAAUCAGCAACACAAAAUCAGAAUUUGGACAUCAAAGGUAUAAAAACCUUAGCUUGAAUCUGUCCAAAAUUUUGUUGUUAGAUGUUAGAAUUUAUUGUUAAAACAUGUUGUUUAUAAGUUAUUAUGACGAUCUGGGUUGGUUUUAGAUAGAUCCAUAUCAUCAAAAUCUUCAGAUUUGAGUUUUUGAAAAAUCUGGAAAAUUUUUGUUGUCGACUGACAAGCAAAUGUCAGGCCUCUUUAAUCUUUGUAUGUUAACUGUUUUUGUUGAUUAAAGCUUGAAUCUUGUAGCCUGUUAUGUUCCCUGUAAUCUGGAACUUUUAGCUAGCUCAGAUCGUGCUCAGAAUGAAAGUUAUGGGUGGUCAAACCUCAUUGACCGACCAUGACUUUCAAUUUCUGGAAAAACCCAGAUCAUGCCCAGAAGGCUCUGACAAGAUCUUCGUGGCCUUAGAUCUGACUGUGUUAUGAUUUUAUGUAAUGAUCUAUGUAUCUAUGAUAUAGUCUGUUGUUUGGACUACAAUAUUAUUGCACUAUAUUACUAAUAUAUAGAUCAGGUAGAUCUCAGUGGGCGGUCAAACUAGGCCGGACGUUCAUGAAAUGCAUUUUCUGGGUAACCCAGAAAACGCAUGAUCAUGACGUCUGACAAGGUUUGACCGGUCUAGAUCUGUCGAUUGUGUUGUUAUUUAGUUAAUGUUUUGGGAUAAAUAUAUUCUCUUACAUGUUGGCUACACACUUCACGCAUUAUAUCACAAAAAUAUCUCGCGAUCUGCAAGUUGUGGAAGCCCAAAGUAGCCAUCAGGAACUGUUCUUCAUUUCUGGGAAACCCAGAAAUGAAGAACAUGUCUGACAGCCACUUUGAGGCUUUAUAUCUUCGGAUUGUGAUGUUAUUUGAUCAUAUUUCUUGUUGAAUGGUGUAGUGUUGCAUGUAUACUACAUAAUCUGUACAAAAGCAUACCCUCAAACAUCAUGAUCCGGUCUGUGUGCUUGGUCAAAGUAGGCAAGUUGGAACUGGUUAUGAAUGUUCUUGAAGGCUCAAGAACACCUAUAGCGACAGAAAGUGUCGCUAUAGCCCUUUAGCGACAGUUUUAUUUAUAAUUUCCGAAAAUUAAUAAAAAAAUUGAUAAAAAGGGUUUUUAAUUAUUAAAAAUACAAAAUAAAUUAUUAAAAAUUAUUUUAAAUUCUGAAAAUUAUAUUUUAAUUAUUUUAAAUAUAUUUCAUAAAUAUUUAAUAUUUUUGGAAUAUUAAAAGUAUUUAAUUUAUUUAAUUAUAAUAUUAAAUAAAUUAUUUAAAAAUGAUUUAAAUACAUGAAAAAUCAUUAAAAAUUAUAUUAUGAUAUAUGAAAAUAUUUUAAGUUAUCUACAAUGACUUUUAAUAUUUUAUGAUAAUUUUCAUUAAUAAAUUAAUAUUAAUGAUAGUUAAGUUAUUUAGUAAAUGAAUUAAAUAAAUAAAUUAAAAAUGAUUUUAUUAUAUUAAAAAUCAUUUUAAAUAAUAAUAAGGUAUUUAAGAAUAUUUUAAGUUAUAAAAUAUAACUUUUAAUAUUUAAUGGUUAAUUUCAUUAAUUAAUGAUUAAUAAUGAUAUUAAAAAUUAUUUAAUUAUAUUAAAUAAAUUAGUUUAAAAAUGAUUUUAUUAUUUUAAAAAUCAUUUUAAAUGAAAAUAAAGUGUUUAAAAAUAUUUUAAGUUAUAAAAUAUAACUUUUAAUAUUUAAAAGAAUAAUUUCAUUAAUAAUUUAAUAUUAAUGAUAUUUAUUUAAUGAUUAAUGAUAUUAAAUUUAUUUAAUAAUUAUAUUAAAUAAAUAGUUUUAAAAUGGUUUUAUUAAUUUAAAAAUUAUUUAAAAAGGGAUAAAAAUGAAUUAAAAGUAUUUUAAGUUAUAAUUAAUGACUUUUAAUAUUUAGAUAAAUAGUUCAUUAAUAUUUAAAUAUUAAUGGUAAUUAUUUAAUAAUGAUUUUAAAUGUUUUAAAAAUCAUUUAAAGGUAAUAUAAAUGUUUUAAAAAAAGUUUAAGUUAUUUUAAAUAACUUAAUAUUUUGGCAAUGGUUUCAUUAAUAGUUUAUUAUUAAUUAAAUAUUAAUGAUAAUAGAAUUGUUUAUUAUUUAAAUCAUUUAAUAAUGAUUCUGAUAUUUCAAAAAUUAUGAUAAAUGGUAAUAAUUGUUUAAAAAUUAUUAUAAGGCAAUGAAAAAUAGUGCGGCGGGUGUUUGAAAUAUCCAAAUGAAUAUUGAACAACUGUUUAGAGUCUUAGACUCGAUAAUUACCCGAUAAGGUUGUCGGUAGACCGAUAUAUUUCAGAAAUUGAUCUGGAUUUAGAUAGAUUGACUUGAUAAGUGAAUUAUUUGUGAUUCAAUGGUGUUAAAAUUAUGUGACAAUGUGAUUAGGAAUGUGCUGACUGCAAUAAGCAGUAUUAUAUGAUAUAUUAUUCUAAUCAGACAAUGAUCUAUUUAAUGAUAGGACUUGAUAGAAAAGAUAUAUCUAAGUUGUGUAAGCAGCAGACAAGGCAAGUAUCUAAACCUUUGCAUUUACUUUAUGCUAAGGACAUGCGUAAGAUAAUAUCUAAACUAUUCAUUUCAAUUGUUCAAAUAUUUCAACCUUUGUAUAUACUUAUGCAAUGAUUCUGUAUAAGUAAGCUAUUAAACAAUAAUUGUUGUACAAUUUCCUUUAUUCUGUUAAUAGUGAUCAAGUUAUUUAUUCUGUUCGUUAAUUUCUAUAACAUGGUUAUACAAGUGUCCCCACUUGGAUAAUCAUUAUAUUUUAUCACAUGUUGAUACAUACUUAUAGUUGCUUAGUAUGUAUACCUUGAAAUAAAGGUCGUCUAAGCUAUUUGAUCCAGCUAGACAUAUAUAUUUAAAAUUGUUGUUGAACAAGAUAAAAUUAUCCAACCGAAUUGCUUUGGUAUGGAUUCAAGACUGUUAUGAACAUCCCAAUCAUGGGAAAUUUUUAUGCGCUACGGCGGACAAAGGAUGAACGAUAAUAUCGUUCUAGAAUGUAGUAUUGAUCAAUACAGGGCAUAACGGGCUGAUCACCCCCGUGCCCAUAAGUAAUGACGGUUUACAGAUGAAGUUCUGUUUAAACCUUUUCAAAAAUAUAAAACAAUGUUCAUAGUCUGUCAAAUGAUCAUCAUUUAUAGUCUGUACGUAGUUUCAAAAAAAUAAAAUUUAAAAUGACAUGUUAUUGAUUAUUGGUCCAGUUUACUUCACAACUAUUGAUCCGUUGUAGAAGUUUCGUUCAAAGAAAAUAUUUAAUCUUUUCAGCUAACUGAUAUUGUUGAUAUUACUUGCUGGGCACUCAAAUGCUCAUUCUUGCUUAAUUUAAAUGUUUUCAGCUAAGUGUGAACAAACCGAAGGAUCUGCCAAGAACAAGGGGAAAGGGAAAGUUGCUGAAUGAAUGUUUAAGCUAUUCUAUGUAAUAG